CGGAGAAUGUUAUCACGGGAGACACACGGCGGGUGCUAACGUCCGUCGUGAAGAGGGAAACAACCCAGACCGCCAGCUAAGGUCCCAAAGUCAUGGUUAAGUGGGAAACGAUGUGGGAAGGCCCAGACAGCCAGGAUGUUGGCUUAGAAGCAGCCAUCAUUUAAAGAAAGCGUAAUAGCUCACUGGUCGAGUCGGCCUGCGCGGAAGAUGUAACGGGGCUAAACCAUGCACCGAAGCUGCGGCAGCGACACUCAGGUGUUGUUGGGUAGGGGAGCGUUCUGUAAGCCUGUGAAGGUGUGCUGUGAGGCAUGCUGGAGGUAUCAGAAGUGCGAAUGCUGACAUAAGUAACGAUAAAGCGGGUGAAAAGCCCGCUCGCCGGAAGACCAAGGGUUCCUGUCCAACGUUAAUCGGGGCAGGGUGAGUCGACCCCUAAGGCGAGGCCGAAAGGCGUAGUCGAUGGGAAACGGGUUAAUAUUCCCGUACUUGGUGUUACUGCGAAGGGGGGACGGAGAAGGCUAUGUUGGCCGGGCGACGGUUGUCCCGGUUUAAGCGUGUAGG
rnacentral:rRNA from 1 species